GAAUGAACUGCAGUUGGGGACAGAGUGGGGCUGCACUCAGGACUGGAAACCACCAUCAGGAGAAAUGCUGGCAACUUGUUAUUUUGCUUCAAAAGGCAUUUGCUUAGUUUCUAAAGGGGGUACCGAGGCACCAGUUGUUCUCUUGCACUUCUCUCUAUAGGGAUUCUCCUAGGCAUUCUGCACAGAUUCUCAUACUGCAGUCUGCAGAGUGCAGAGAAUAUGCUUGGAGUGCUUCUUACCUUCCUCAGGCUGUUGCUAUCCUCUCUCUGCUCCCCACUGCCAUCGGCCUCCACUGCUCAUGGAGAAGUUGACUGCUUCCCAUUGCUUGAUGGUGCAUUGCUGCCUUCCUCCUGCCCUGAUUUUCAGCUCACCUGACUGCACAACACAGACCCUGUGCUCUGCCAGGCCGUGGAGGGGCAGGGGCUGUUUCUCAGCAGGAUGCUUCUUGCAGACCCUUCUGCGCUUCCCUCUCUGCACCCAUCCCUCGAGUGCUGAGCCCAGAUGAUAGCUGGGAUACAAAGCAGCCAUACCAUGCUACGUAGCUGGGUGUCCCUUUGGCUUGCUGGAGCCUGUGCCUGGGGAGGAACACUCAGGGUGAGAUCUGUAUGUGGGAGUUUGGUUCUAAUUCCUAAUUCUAGGGAUUAGAACCAGCCUGGAGCUGGGUGUCGAGGCGUUUUGUGAUGUGCAGCACCUUAAAACAAUGGCAGAAGCCCCCCGCUGGCCAAGCUGCCUGCACCUGCUCCCUGCAGGACACGCACUGCGCGGUGCAGCACUGGGCCGUGUGGUGGCUGGUGUCUGGCUGUGACCUCACCUGUUACCUGAUGGAAGAUUAUGGGACAAUAAGAUAAAGACCGGCCAGGUGAGAGAUUUUGUUGUUAAGAAGGUAUGAAGUGUUUCUGAAAUACACAACCCUGUGACAGGCUGGGCCACGCCUGAAGGGGCUUGUGAUAAAGCACCUGGUCUGAAGGGCGGCUGGGCGGGCUGCAAAUCCCCAAAGGCACCCAAGGUUUGUGGCUGAAGUAAGUACAUAAUGACCUGGAAUGCCAGCUUCCUUCAGCUCCACUGCUGCAAAAGAAGGCUCUUCUAGCUGAAUUGCUGUGCCACGUGCGAGAGGUCUCCAACUGCAAUUUUGGAAUUGGUGGUCUGUCUGUUUUGCAGUGCCACCUUCCACAGUCAUGGUAGUUCAUAAAACACACACACAUGGAAGAAAAAGGCGGGGAAAGGGUUGUGCUUGUGCUCUCUUCACUUCCAGCACUCCCUUCCAUGAAACGUGUGCAGCCAUACCUCCUUCCCCUACAGUAUAGCUGCUGUAAUGUGCUUUGCGCCUUUAAAUGUGUGGAGCACCAUGUCUGCCUGGCAGGACCAUGAGAAUUCAAGAUGGGAGAGGCAGGCUUUGUUUUCUCUCUCAUGGAGAUUUUGCAUUUGUUCUCUCCCCGUUAUGUUGGCUUGCAGAGCGGGUUAGUAAACACUCCCAUCCUGUUUGCCAGUUUCUUUAUAUUUUCUGUACACAGGGAGCAAAAUGCACAUUUUCCCUCUGCACGGGAGAAUGAAAGGGAAGGAAGACAUACAGAAUCUGUCGGGGAAGCAGUGUCUCCUGCUGCAAAGUCUUCCUGCAGCAAACAGGCAGCCCGUGCUCUCUCCUUUGCAACUGCAAAGCCCAGAAAAUAAACUAGCAGGCACACGUUCUUCCGUGCCUGAAGACU
rnacentral:lncRNA from 7 species